rnacentral:rRNA from 1 species
UUAAUUGAAGAGUUUGAUCAUGGCUCAGAUUGAACGCUGGCGGCAGGCCUAACACAUGCAAGUCGAGCGGCAGCGACAAYAUUGACCCUUCGGGGGAUUUGUUGGGCGGCGAGCGGCGGACGGGUGAGUAAUGCCUGGGAAUAUGCCUUAGUGUGGGGGAUAACUAUUGGAAACGAUAGCUAAUACCGCAUAAUGCCUACGGGCCAAAGAGGGGGACCUUCGGGCCUCUCGCGCUAAGAUUAGCCCAGGUGGGAUUAGCUAGUUGGUGGGGUAAMGGCUCACCAAGGCGACGAUCCCUAGCUGGUCUGAGAGGAUGAUCAGCCACACUGGAACUGAGACACGGUCCAGACUCCUACGGGAGGCAGCAGUGGGGAAUAUUGCACA